rnacentral:rRNA from 1 species
AUUGAACGCUGGCGGCAGGCCUAACACAUGCAAGUCGAACGGUAGCACAGAGAGCUUGCUCUCGGGUGACGAGUGGCGGACGGGUGAGUAAUGUCUGGGAGACUGCCCGAUGGAGGGGGAUAACUACUGGAAACGGUAGCUAAUACCGCAUAACGUCGCAAGACCAAAGUGGGGGUCCUUCGGGCCUCACACCAUCGGAUGUGCCCAGAUGGGAUUAGCUAGUAGGUGGGGUAAUGGCUCACCUAGGCGACGAUCCCUAGCUGGUCUGAGAGGAUGACCAGCCACACUGGAACUGAGACACGGUCCAGACUCCUACGGGAGGCAGCAGUGGGGAAUAUUGCACAAUGGGCGCAAGCCUGAUGCAGCCAUGCUGCGUGUAUGAAGAAGGCCUUCGGGUUGUAAAGUACUUUCAGCGGGGAGGAAGGCGGUGAAGUUAAUAACUUCACCGAUUGACGUUACCCGCAGAAGAAGCACCGGCUAACUCUGUGCCAGCAGCCGCCGUAA